GAUGAACGCUGGCGGCGUGCCUAAUACAUGCAAGUCGAGCGAACGGACGAGAAGCUUGCUUCUCUGAUGUUAGCGGCGGACGGGUGAGUAACACGUGGAUAACCUACCUAUAAGACUGGGAUAACUUCGGGAAACCGGAGCUAAUACCGGAUAAUAUUUUGAACCGCAUGGUUCAACAGUGAAAGACGGUCUUGCUGUCACUUAUAGAUGGAUCCGCGCUGCAUUAGCUAGUUGGUAAGGUAACGGCUUACCAAGGCAACGAUGCAUAGCCGACCUGAGAGGGUGAACGGCGACACUGGAACUGAGACCCGGUCCAGACUCCUACGGGAGGCAGCCGUAGGGAAUCUUCCGCAAUGGGCGAAAGCCUGACGGAGCAACGCCGCGUGAGUGAUGAAGGUCGUCGGAUCGUAAAACUCUGUUAUUAGGGAAGAACAUAUGUGUAAGUAACUGUGCACAUCUUGACGGUACCUAAUCAGAAAGCCACGGCUAACUACGUG
rnacentral:rRNA from 1 species